rnacentral:rRNA from 1 species
AACGCGAAGAACCUUACCUGGGCUCGAACGGCUUUGGAACAUCUUUGGAAACAGAGACUUCUCGCAAGAGACCGGAGUCGAGGUGCUGCAUGGCUGUCGUCAGCUCGUGUCGUGAGAUGUUGGGUUAAGUCCCGCAACGAGCGCAACCCUUGUCCUGUGUUGCCACUCCCGUAAGGGAAGCACUCUCAGGAGACCGCCAGCGAUAAGUUGGAGGAAGGUGGGGAUGAUGUCAAGUCAUCAUGGCCUUUAUGUCCAGGGCUACACACGUGCUACAAUGGACGGUACAAAGCGCUGCAAACCCGCGAGGGGGAGCCAAUCGCAAAAAACCGUUCUCAGUUCGGAUCGCAGGCUGCAACUCGCCUGCGUGAAGCUGGAAUCGCUAGUAAUGGCGUAUCAGAACGAUGCCGUGAAUACGUUCCCGGGCCUUGUACACACCGACGCAC